CACUUUUUCCUGUAGCCAGGCCGAUCUCUCCCACCAGGGCUCUUGAAGAAGAGGUAAUUAAGCUCCCGGCAUCUUCCUCGGGCAUCUUCCUCUGCCUACCUGAGCACCUCACACCUACCAAAUAAAGCUGGAUAGGCCAUGCUGGUUUCCGUCACAGCCAUAGUCGGGGCAUUCAUUGCUCUCACAAGCUCUUCAGUAAGGAUUUGAUGGGGGCUGGGCAUGGCAGCCCGCGCCUUUGGUUCCAGCCCCCCUUCCCACUACCCCCACCCUCCCAAGUUGGAUCCCGGAGUUGGAAGCCAGGCUGCUUCACCGGAAGGUUCCAGGCAAGCCAGGGCUGCAUAGUGAGAUCCUGUUUCUACAUUUUUUUUUUUGUUGUUUUUUUUUUUUGGUUCUUUUUUUUUUUUUUUCCCCGGAGCUGGGGACCGAACCCAGGGCCUUGCGCUUCCUAGGUAAGCGCUCUACCACUGAGCUAAAUCCCCAGAUCCUGUUUCAACCAACCAAUCAAAAGAUAGCCUUUGCCAGGGGCUAAGGUGUGGUGGGUUGGCUUAAUGCUGCUUGUAUUCUAACGCUGAUUUGGGGCCUCCAAGACUGGGGCCCUAGAGAGUCUACAGGGGAGAGAGUGGCUGGUAAGAUACUGCCCCCAGUUAGUUGUGAUUGGUAAAUAAAGAUGCCAAUAGCCAAUAGUUGGGCAGAGGGGAGAUAGGUGGGGUUGAUGUUUCACUUGGGUGAGAGAGGACCACGAGGAGGGAAGGAGAAGGAAGCCACCAUGGAAGAUGGUUGUGCAGGAGGGAGGAGAGCUGCCAUGGGCUAGGAGCCAAGAGACCAGGGCCCAGAGGGCUGCCCAACUGGAGUUCAGAGCAGCCCGGAUGGAACGCAGUAAGUGGUAACGGGGUUUUCGAUAGGAAGUAGGUUCUAGCAGCACGGAGGGUAGGCAGCUGCCUGGCUAUUGUGGCAUAUUAAAGAUAUAAAGGCUGCGUGUGCCUUCCAUCCGGGAACAUAAACGGCAUGAGGUGAGGAAGAAGCCCCGGGCUGGGAUUUUUAAUAUUUAUUACUACACUGAGGAGACGGCUCAACUGGGCCUUGCUGACCAGCCGGUCUAACUGAAUCAGCAAGCCCCAGAUUCAGCGAGAGCAAUCUUGUUCAAAAAAAGCAAGCAAUAGAGCAACACACCUGUCAAACAUCUCUUGUCACCACAUGCAUGUAAACACACGUGUGGCCAAAUCUAUACACACAUACGAAUGUGUACACGCACAAGCUUUGACAGAAUGCAUGGGAUACAGCGUCUCUCACUGUUCUCUCUAACUUUUAUGGGUAAGAUGGUCUUCUCCCUUGACUACUCUCUUAGGCCAUUGUGGGUUGCUGUAACUAACACCUGAUACUUGGCAAUAUAUCCAGGAUUGAAAUCAGAGCUGUGCAUGUCCAGAGGAUGGUGACAGCUCCAGUCCUCUCUGGCUUCCUCACCACAGACGUCACCAUGGUGGGAGGCACUGUGGUGGGAGCAGUGGAAGUCAAGGAAGCCAGAGGGACAAAGCCAGGUUCACCUUUAAUCAUUGCCUGCUUUCUUCAAACUGACAAGAAGCCCAUGAAAACUACCCUGAUCCCCUCCGAAACAGCAUUAGCAUAACCACCUAAUUCCUGGACCCCGAACUCUUAAAAGUUCCAUUCCCUCCACAAUGUCCCACUGAAGACCACACCUCUAGCAGACACUCAAGCCAGCUCCCAACCAGAGCUGCCUCAACUUAAGACUUUUGGUAAUGAGGUCUGUUUUGUUUUGUUUUAUUUGUUUGUUUGUUAGUCCAAUCAGAAUUAACCCAUAUUCGUUUCAGUUACCUUGACACCUCACACACAAGCUUAUUAUUACACAUAACACCCCAUUAUACUAGUAGGCUUAAUUGCCUCUCUUCCCCGAUAGUCCGGAGGCUUUCGGUGAGCAAACACUGUUUUGGUCCACAUUUCCCAGAGCCUGGUAUAGUCUAAAGAGUCAACAUCAUUGAAUAAACCUCGGAAGCUGUGACGUUCCAAAUGGAAGACGGCGAGUGCUCCUCAAGUUUAAGUGACUAGAUCUAGGGAGCCGGCCUUCAUCCAGCACAUGCGCAGUGUGGUUAGGGCGUCCUGUUGGUCCGUCUGGCUCAAAGAGAGCAUGCUCCACCGCCCAGGAAAAGUAGCUGUUCGCUAAUUUAGACUCUCACCCAGUGUAGUCCCUGAAUGGGCAACACUUUCCCCCGUUUCUUGAGAACAGGAUGAUAAAUAAUGCAGCGACAGUACAGGAGAUAUUAAUUCUGGUACGCCACGCCGCCACUCAGCUUUAGAACCCAGGAAGGAAGCGAGACUUAACACGGCGCGUUGCAGCCUUGUGAGCAGGCCACCUUGGCUUUUUUUGUUUCCUCUCAAAGGGGGUGAGAGUGGUUGUUUGUUUGCUUUGGUUUCGUCUUCAAUAAGAAGCAUCUUAAUGUAACCAUUCUGGACAUCUGCCCCACUUUCAAAAAUUACAAGUUUCGAUCACUGCUAAAUUGUACAGAUCCCAAUCUGUCUGCUCCGCAUACGUUUGCAUUUAUAAAUGCAGAAUCAGGCUAAGAGUCUUUCUAAUGUAAUCCCCCAAAUGCAUGAAGUAUUAGAAGCCUUUCCCCCACUGGUUCAUGCGUUGCUAGGGACUUAAAAGGAUCAUUGAUUUGAAUUAUUUAAUGUGUACAACAAGUUGAGUUUCUUUUUAAAAAAAAUGAAGAAAACCCCUUGGGUAUUCUUUUAGUUUAGUUUUUUUUUUUAAUAUUACAUCCGUCCAUCUGACUGUCUGUCUGUCUGCCUGUCUGUCUCUGUGUCUAUUUGUUGGGGAUUUGUAUGUGUGCAUGCUCAUACACAGGGCAGAGGUUGACUUUGGAGGUGUUUAUUUCCCAUGUGGAUUCCUGGGCACCCAGGUUCUGUGGCAAGUAGCUUUACUCCACCAUCUUGUCAGCCCUGGUUUAAAUUUUUAAUGGGAAAUCUCCUUAUUCUUGGGAAAUAAGCUGUAUUCAUAUGAACUCCAAAAAGGGGGCCAGAUUUCCAUCAUGUUUUUAAACUAUCCAGGAAAUGUUUGAUUCUAAUGAAACACUAGUGCUGAAAAUUGGGCUGAAAUUGCUGAGCUAAAAAUACAGUUCUAACUGCACAUUAUUCUAACGCUGUAACUUUUUCUUUGAGGACUGGCCCAGGCUUAGAGACAAGGAGCAUUCUAAUUUGUAAUAAAAAUGUCAGGCUAGAUGUUUGUUGCUGCUUUUGAGAAUUUAAGCCAGUUUCUACUCUCAAAUUCCACCAAUAAUCCUAGACUUUAAAUGUUGAAUACUUUGCUGUGUAGUCUAAGUCUUAAUUCUUGUUUAUUUAUUUUGGUGUUUUACUCUCCCCUCAUAGAAAAACAGCUGUGUGUCGCUUCAGUACCACUUGACCUGUAACAUCUGGGCUAAUGCGUUUAUUUUAGUUUAUGCUCUGUUCAGAAAGCAGGCCAGAAAUGGGAGUCCUGUGUGCACUGUUGAGUGUGCUUUCUGUGACAAUCCAAUACUCUUAUUUUAUCCCUUUGACAGCACAGCACAAAUGAAGAGGCCAUCUAUAUACGGUUGCCUGACUUGUGAUGGAAGCCUGGGUGGGAAUUAAAAAGAUAACGCUAACUCGCCAUCUAAACCUGGGUCCUGUGAGAGCGCAGAGGGAAUGCAAAAACAAUUAAGUCUUUGGUUGCCCUAAACAGGUACAAUGAAGACCACCCAGAGUAAUCUAUACCCUUCGUCACCUGAACCAGAGAGCGUGUCACUAACGCCAACUACCCGUUGACCUUUUUCUGUGGCAAAUCCCUCUGAGAAUUCUAGUGCAUUAUUGAUGAAACACCGAACCAAAGAAAGAUAAGAAUGGAUUCUGAUAUUUGGCUCAGCACAAUAUUUACUUAGGGUCACAGCAGGUUAAUGCCAUGUUAGUACACUAGAUAGAGCAGGGGAGACUGAACUAAGGGUAUGAACAGGAAUAGAUGGGAGGUCACCGAUGGUCCACUUUGUUACUGGUUAGAGACUGUAACAAAUCAAAAGAAGGUAGAUGUUGCAAGGGCACCAGAAACCAGCAGCCUGCCUGAGUGACCUGGGGCGUGAGCUGGGGUGUGAGCGAGGGGCAUAGGGAGAGCUCUGCUUCUGAACCUGGAAUAAGGUUUUGAUGUUACCGAUGCCCUGGGAGGCAGCUACCCUCCCAUUUUGAGUUAACACCAAUUCUUCCCGAAUCAAUACUCCUUGAAAACAGCUGCAGCUUCUCAAAUCAGCAAGGCUAGCUUAUGUCUCUUGCCAUGCAUGUCUUUUUUUUUUUUUUUCCUGGAAAGUUCCUUUGAGGUCUUUCAGGAACCUGAUUCAGUCCAACAACUGUCAAGGGCUAAUGUAUGCAAGGAUGUGCGGGCGCGUGUGCAAAGAGCCUGCGAGACAGAGGAGUGCGGGGCUCUGCCCUCCGACCACUGCUCUGUAAUACAGGAAGAGAGAAUAAACCGUGCUGCCAUGGGCGCCAUCUUGAGUGGGCGCCAUCUUGAGUGGGCGCCAUCUUGAGUGGGCGCCAUCUUGGGUGGGCGCCAUCCAAAAGGACUUACACUAAUGUUUUAGGGGGAAGAGGCAGUCAAUAUAAACAUUGUCCCCUCUCUAUCUUUUCCUGCAUGCUCUAUCUUUUAAUAUUUUGAAAACUAAAGACAGACAUAGAGAUUCAGAGGACUUGGAAAUGGCCGUCUGGUGGCAGGGGAUCGGCCUUUAUCUGAGACAUCCCACGCCUUCUACUGUGCCUUGGCUCCGGUGAAAGCUUGCUCGUGAGAUCUUCCUUCCACAGCAUGCAGUGGUAGUUAGUAAAAUGCUCAGCCUGUCGGUCCUCAGCACGUUCCUGGUUGUUUGCUUUUUACGGUCUUUCUUAUGCAGGGUUUCCUUCUUGCCCAGGUAGCUGACAGGAAGUUUUGGCAUUUGGCUCCCAUUGUUCCUUCUCACUGGACACCUUGUGUAAAGGACCUGGGAUAUGGACACUGUCAUCUUCCUGAUGACAGAUCCAGCCUGAGCCACAAAGGGCUCCUUUUGUUCCUCACAGGAGUCUUUCCUCUGUGCUGUUGAAGGUACAUGAGGUCUGGGCAGAGGCAGCUGUGGAAAUCCACAAGCAAUGAAUGUGAGUGCAUGUGGUGAGUUGGAGUGUUAGUUGGGUAAGGACUGGUCUUCCAGCAAGUCUGUAACUCCUGAGAGAAAAGCUCAUACGGGGCUCUGACUGUCUGAGAGCCAAAUCUAUUUGCUGUGUACCUUAUCCCAGGCAAAAUGACUGGCCAUGAUGAUGAUGAUGAUGAUGAUGAUGAUGAUGGUGGUGGUGGUGGUGGUGGUGGUGGUGAUGGUGGUGAUGGUGAUGGUGAUGGUGAUGGUGGUGGUGACAUCAACGAUGAUGCUGAUGACAAUGAUGGCGAUGAUGAUGGUAAUAAUAACAACAAUAAGAAUAACAACAACUAGAGCGGCUUAUAGGGAAGGGAAAAGUAAAUUUGUAACAGUGGGUGGGUGAGAUCUGUGUGGGGUUUGGGUUCCCAUGUGGAAAAGACAAGGCCACCAAAACAGAAUCAGGGAGCUAGCCAACGGUCAGGAUUAAACUCCUGAGAAGCACUCUUAAAAGAGGGUUCUCAGACUCCUUCACAUCCAAAUCCACACAUAUUUGUUGAAUGUAAAAGUUUAACUCCCUUAAUAUUACUGAUGCUAAAAGCAACUUUUGAUGUUUUAACUAAAUCCAAGCAUUGGAAAAAUGAAUUGCUUGUGUUUCAAACUACGUGUUCAAAUUCACGUUCUGAUUUGACCUAGACUCACAACACACACACACACACACACACACACAUACACACACACCCCAUGGGGACAAGAGGAGGAGGAGAAGGAAGAGGAAGAAGAAGAGGAGAAGGAGAAGGGGAGGAAGAGGAGGAAGAAGACGGAGGAGGAGGAGCAAAGGAGCCACAAGAGAAAAAGCCAAGGAAAGACAGAGACAGACUAUGCACAGGGCGUCAUUUUCAUCAGUGAAGGGCAGGAGGUCUUCAUCCAGGCAGGCAUCAUGGGGUGGGGUAGAACAGAAAUCCUUUGGGGCUGAUUCUGUGCUUUCUUUCCCCGGGUUACAAUGCCGAUGUAUAUGUAACCAUGAAGAAGAGUAAUGUUAGAAACAGAAAGCCUGUCAGGGGAACAUAUUUCUGAUCCUAUAAUGGAUACCAGAACAGCACUCCUAAACCCCUAAAUCUGUUAUUGCUUUCCCCAGAGAAAAGGCCAUUCGAACUGAAGGUGACCUUGGAGGAGGAACAAGAAAGGUUCCGCUGAAGCCUGGCUCACUUCCAGCUGACUGAAGGAAAGCAUGAGACCGUAUCGGUCAACACAGAAAGUCCUCAGCUCAGCUAGAGACUGUACUCCAGCUUUGCUCUGUUACCAAUAUUUUUCAGUCCCUCCUUUUCUCUGUGCCAGUACAGAUGGAGCUAAGUGACAAGGGUCUGCACCAUCACAGGCCAAAGUCACUUAUGCUGUUGCUGCCUGUGCAGCCAGGAAUGUGAGGGGAGAGUUCCCGCAGCGGGGUGAGCAGAGAAACCUGUGUGUGUGUGUGUGUGUGUGUGUGUGUGUGUGUGUGUGUGUGUGUGUGUGAGAUAAUAACUGUGUUCCAUUUAUCUUGCCUUAAACUCAUGGGCCAAAAAGAGGCAUCGUGACCUUCCUAUUAAAAGGGAUAGCAGUAUGAUAAAUCACUGCUUUUUCUUUGUGUGUUUCCUACUUUGCCCUAAUUUUAUAGCUGGAAUCACAUACUUGGAACUGACUAUAAUUUAGCUCUGAAGUCCGGAAUCACUCCAUGCAGAGAGCACGCUGCUUUCUCAUAUAUCUACGCCCUGGUGUGUUAAGUCACCUAGGAAGCCAGAGGAAGCUUAGCUGAUGUGUUGAACUACUUGCCCCUUCGAUUCAGGGCACAUCGCCAUCGGCGUCCUGAAGCCCUUGCCCCUGUCAAAUGUAUUGUUCCUCGUUCCUGAGUCUUUUUUUUUUUUUUUUGUUCUUUUUUUUUUUCGGAGCUGGGGACUGAACCCAGGGCCUUGCGCUUCCUAGGUAAGCACUCUACCACUGAGCUAAAUCCCCAGCCCCUCGUUCCUGAGUCUUGAUCACCCUCCACCCCUGUCACCACGUACGGGUAAUUGUUAGAUCUCAUGUGCCUUUGCUUAGCUGUGUGUUCUUACAGGGUGUGGAAGCUUGUGCCAGUGGUGGGUGGAAUAGUGCUUUCCAAUACAUCUUCAAUUGCUUUUCUUACCCAAGGAGAUUUUUAAGACCCACUGUGUGUCCAUUUAAUUGACUUCGUGGAUUGCCAGGAACAAUUGAGAGUUCUGACUUCAUUGUGUGAUCUCUAUAAAGGCCGCUUUCAGUACCGAGUAAGUCAGGCAUCUCAUUUCAUGUGAUUUGCAGGGUAAUUCAGGAGGGGUGUAUUGUUAUGUUGACAGAAACUCCAAAAUUGGGCGAAAGCAAGUGAGGGUUAUAGUAGGAGUUUAGCAAAAUUAGAAAGCGGCUUGACUUGGAUCUGCAAUGUCCUCCACAGGCUCCUGUUCUGAGUGCUCAGUCACCAGCUUGUGCUGUUUCCUGGAGCUGGACCCUUUAGGAGAUGUGACCUGAGCGGGAGAAGCAGGUUACUACUGGUCAGGCUUUGAAGGGUAGAGCCUGGCUUUGGUUCUGGCCAUGGUUACUGCUUUCUGGUCCUCCACCUUGUAAAGCAUGUCCAUGGCAUGUAUCCACCACACGAUGCCACCCACACCAUGAUGAGCUGAGAGCCUCUGAACCCAAGGACCAGACAAAACCUCUCCCUCCCUAGGUAGCAUGUGUGAGGCAUGUUGGUCACUGCGGUACAGAAGUGGCUAAGACGGAUUCUGAUGUAGCUGUGGCCAUGGCGACGGAGUGGUACUCAGCAUCAUUAGGCAUAGCUUUUGGUUCGAGUGAAGAAUUGUUCUUUGGAGUCCUUUUCAGGCCAAGGGAAAGGGAUAUGACAAAGCACCGGCUGACAUGCCCACUCUCUCAGAAAGAGGGAUGUUCUGGAAGCAAAGCACGACCCAAGCUUCUCUCGAGAUGUGUGCUCAGCUAAACCAAGACAUCAUCCUUCAAACCUGCAGCCUCAGAGCUUCAGAGCGAGGCCUUGACUGGCCCCACCGAUGGGAUAAAGAAAUAAUUGCUGGUUAUUUCAGCUGCCCUCUACGUGUGAUCAAUAUAUCAGUGAGGGCUGUUCCCCAAACUUUGUACAGGAGUCUGGAAAUGUGGACCGUACCUCCAAAGUGCAGUUAAUAGAUGGCAGAAUGUGAGCCUGUGUGUGGAUAGGUUUCUAUGCCUAUGGGAAUCUUGUGAGAUAAAUCUGUUUUCUCUUUUUAUUAUGAGAUGUUUGUCACCGGAUGCACUUGCAUUUUCAUACAGAGUAACCCCCAAAUCACACUGCACGAAGUGUCACAAAUCACACAUAAGAUUCGUAGCCAUGUGUGACAAAGAGGCUGCGGUUCAGCGCUGAAGUUUUGAGAAAGGUAAGUUCUGCAGAAAGAGGGCAUUCAUCUUAUCUCCUCAGGUCUUAUAUUCCCCGCUCAAGCCUUCGUUCCUAUUAUAUUCAUCUUCAAAGUGGCACAUGUAGGUAACAUUUUUCAAUAGUCAAUUAUCUCUGGCCAUCCUCUGGCCCUUUCCUUGCUCCUUCAGAAAAUACAUUCACUAGCUGAUGCUGUGUUUCAUCCAAAUUAUUCGUCUCUGUAGUGCAGGACUUAAAGCAUGCGCCUGAUUUUUAUUGACUCGUCUUAUUCCUUGUCAUUGUCUGUUCCCUCACCAUGAUGCAGGCCUGAUCGACUAUUCUAGUACAGAGUUUCUAGCAUUCUUUUUUCUAUACGUUACUAGCAGACUAUUAACUAUUUUGAGUCUUCAAAAUGUUCCAUGGAGCACACUGACGGGGAAUGUCUGAAAACACAAGCACAGCCCAUCUAACGUGAACUCCAGGACCUCGCACAUUGUGAAUGGAUGAGGCAACAGGAUUGCUGAAAUUGGGUCCCAAAGGGUCCUGAGGUGAGACAGUCCUGGUCUAAAGAGGAAAUAUGAGGAAAAAUAUGUGGGAAAAGCAGGUUACUGCUGCAUGGAAUGGAGGGGUCUGAUUGUGAGAGUCAGCUGGAAAACGCCAGGCCAACCCUCACAUCCUUUUGCUGGAACUGGAAAGCAGCCCCUCAGGCAUCCAGGCAUCUGUGAGGUCCUCUCUGAAGAGUGCUGUGCUCACUAGGUCUCACAGGCUGCUCAGCCUGUCCUGGCAAGGGAGGCGCCAGACUCAAGGCUGUCUGCAGCUCUGCAGGGUCCUUUCUCAGACUCUUAGAAUCCAAGCUGAGUGCUUACUGUGUGAUUACCAUGGAAGCCAUCACAGAGAUCGAAGGAAACCUGAGAAGACAGAGGGAAAGAACGAGCAGGCAGCGCGUGGCCAGACCACCGGCUUUCCUACUCUGCACCCAACAACGUCAUGUUAAAAGAAAAGCGUACUGCUGGAGGAGAUUCAAGAUCUAUUCUUAACCCGUCCCCAUCAUUCUAAAUCUUUCCUAGAAUUGCAGACCAACACAUUCUAAUUACAGGAAACGCUAAGUCAAAUUUCUGUAGAGAAAUAGAAAAUAUUAAGCUGUAUUGUGAAGCUAAGGUAUUAAAUCAGGGCCCGCACAGCAGAUCAAUGAGACAGAUAUCACAUGGGUUUGCAAAUGCAUAAAGUGGUAGAACAUGAACAGGGGGGAUUGAUCAUGCAAUAAUUGGCUAGUCCUCAGGGAAGAAUCAAGAUUUUUUUUCUUAUAUUAUUUGCUAUACCAAAUACAUUUGAAGUGGAUGAAAA